GAUUUCCUGAGUACACAUUAAUCUGAGCUCCCUCAGCCCUAGGGGUAGGGGGAUUGGGGGCACAAGAUGGGUGGAGCCAGAUAGGGAAGAUUCCCCCAGUGUUGUCCUGCUCCCAGUCCAGGUUUGGGACAAUGCCGGCAGCGUUUCCCUGUGUCUUUCCCCCACAAAGUCUCCAAGUCUUUCCUCAAAUGAUCGUCAAGGUUUGGGAGAAACAAUCUCUUCCUCUGCCCGGGUUGCGUGGAUCUCCAGUGGAAAGAUACUGCAUGACAUUGAAACAGCCGGUGUAUUAACUAAUGUAUAUGACAGUCCACCUCUGUAUGAUGAUGUGAAAGUGCAAUUUUUCUCUUCAGCUUUAUCUACCAAGAAAUGAAUUGGAUAAUCCACAUAAACAAAAAGCUUGGAAAAUUUAUCCACCAGAAUUUGCCGUGGAGAUACUUUUUGGUAUGGUUUCUGUGGAUUCUCUGCUCUUUGUGCUCUCCUCCCCACAUUGGUGGCUCCAUCUGGCACAGGGAAGCUUCUGGAUGUCAGAAGGUGGAUUCUCACUCUGUCACCCAGGCUGGAGUGUAGUGGCACAAUCUUUGCUCACUUCAACCUCUGCCUUCUGCGUUCGAGCAAUUCUCCUGCCUCAGCCUCCCGAGUAACUGGGAUUACAGGGACAGUAAGUGGUGUUUCCUGGGAGAUGCUACGGUGUUAUUUUUGCACUACAAGGGCUCUGAAGACUGCCAGGCUUGAAGUGAAGAACCACGUCACCUGCCUAUCCCAGCCAGGUGACAGUGGACAAGGGGCUUCACCUCUGAGCUGUUUUCCAGCUGUACUGGGCACAUUCCUCCUCUCACCCUGACUCACAAGGUGUUAGCAAUAAUGGACACUCCUCUAUCUUCUGCCACACUCUGAACAAUACUUCACUUCCAUCAAAUGGAUUCAUCCCAAAGGUAAUGCCCAUCGCUUCUGGAGGGAGAAAGGAACCUGGCUUACCAGUAUAUCACCCCAGCGUUGACACACUGGGAACGGGUCACGCAUGUGGAUGAUCAAAGGUCAGCUCCUGGUCAAUAUGAGAAGACUGGUUUCAGAAAAGUUGAGUGCUGAAGACUACAAAGCUGUUUGUAAGUUAUCAAGCUAGGAUUUGAUCCCAGGUCUGCCUGAUAAAUCCUGGACUCUUAACCAUGACAUAGGAGUGCCCUCUUGACUCCUAUGAUGGCAUAAAGAAUUGUAUCAGAACGGGUAAUCUGGCAUUAAAACCCCUGUGCCACAA
rnacentral:lncRNA from 1 species